ensembl:ncRNA C44B7.20 ncRNA
GAAAUUAAAUUUUAAUUUUAAAAAUUUAGGAGUUGGAUCUAGUUUGUUAUACAACUACGUUUGUGUUUCAGUUAUGAAACUGUAUAACUGUAUUUUUUCCGAUUUAAUGUGACUAUAAUUUAUUCCAACUGAACAUAGAAUCGUUAAUAG